CCAGUCCCAAACAGUGAGCUAAGUUGCUUCUUCAGAUCCUUGCUUCUGCACACCCCUUCCCUGCCGGGACCCAGCACUAGGCACGACCGUGCCAGAGUCCCGAUCCUGCACCUGCUGCCAGUAGCAACUACACAGGACAAAGAUAAAAAUUAGAAGAUCGAUCUAUCUAUCUAUGCUGAAGAAGUGCAACCAGAUAAUCAGCACAGCAAAGACCACCAACCAAGACAUCUCAAGAAAAACACAACCCAGUCUCCCCUAGGCCUAAUUCCAGUCAAGAUUUGGAAGACAAGAAGGUAAUCAUGAACAGUUUUGAGCAGACUAGGAAUGAAAGGACAGUCAUGGAAAUCACACAAGAACACAGGAAGGCACCAAUGCAAAAAUGAAGAGAGAGGACUCCUCAGAGGUGCACUGAAAAUAUUUUUUAUUUACAUGCACGUUUUGACAAUGGUCUUAUCACUGAUUUGCCAAACUGAUUGCAUAGAAUUUGCCUCUUAGGGUGCUCCUGAAGAAGAACAGCAAGGCUUGAAGCAUCUUGGUGUAAGUUUAAAAAAAAAAGGUCACCUUUGAGCCCUCCUCUCUCUCCCUUGUAUGAUGAGGUCCAACCAACUCAACCAGCGCCCGCCACAAACCAAGAGUGGGGCGUGUUCUGAGGUGCAGUGCCUUCUGCAAAGCACACGUGUUCGAUUGCAAAUGUGAAAGGGUUUCCUGGCAGAGUAAUUGAUGUGGACAGCUUCCCUGAAGGUAGGGAUGUUUGAAAAGCACUGUGGGGGUGGGGCGACCAGGAGCUGCCAGUUCCUAUCUCUGUCAGAAUCAAGAGAGGCUUCUCCACAGAAUCAUCUUCUGCAGGGAAGAGACAGGCCCUUACCUUAGU